rnacentral:rRNA from 1 species
CGUCAGCUCGUGUCGUGAGAUGUUGGGUUAAGUCCCGCAACGAGCGCAACCCUCGUCCUAUGUUGCCAGCGGGUCAUGCCGGGACUCAUGGGAGACUGCCGGGGGUCAACUCGGAGGAAGGUGGGGAUGACGUCAAAUCAUCAUGCCCCUUAUGUCUUGGGCUUCACGCAUGCUACAAUGGCCGGUACAAAGGGCUGCGAUACCGCGAGGUGGAGCGAAUCCCAGAAAGCCGGUCUCAGUUCGGAUUGGGGUCUGCAACUCGACCCCAUGAAGUCGGAGUCGCUAGUAAUCGCAGAUCAGCAACGCUGCGGUGAAUACGUUCCCGGGCCUU